rnacentral:rRNA from 1 species
UAGUCAUAUGCUUGUCUCAAAGAUUAAGCCAUGCAUGUCUAAGUACAAGCCUAAUUUAGGUGAAACCGCGAAUGGCUCAUUAAAUCACACCUAAUCUACUGAAUUGUUACUGUUACUUGGAUAACUGCGGUAAUUCUGGAGCUAAUACAUGCGAAAAAGCCUCAACUCACGGCGAGGCGCUUUUAUUAGACCAAAACCAAACGGAGCAAUCCGUUACUCUGGUGAUUCUGAAUAACUUUGUGCAGAUCGUACGGACCCGUUCCGACGACAAAUUCAUCGAAGGUGUGCCCUAUCAACUGUCGACUGUGGUAUAGACGUCCACAGUGGUUUUGACGGGUAACGGGGAAUUAGGGUUCGAUUCCGGAGAGGGAGCCUGAGAAACGGCUACCACUUCUAAGGAAGGCAGCAGGCACGCAAAUUACCCAAUGGUCGAAGACCGAGGUAGUGACGAAAAAUAACGAUACCGGACUCAUCCGAGGCCCGGUAAUCGGAAUGAGUACACUUUAAAUCCUUUAACGAGGAACAAGG